ACCAGGUAGACUAAUGACAUAGAUGACCAGGUAGACUAAUGACAUAGAUGACCAGGUAGACUAAUGACAUAGAUGACCAGGUGGAGUAAUGACAUAGAUGACCAGGUGGAGUAAUGACAUAGAUGUCCAGGUGGAGUAAUGACAUAGAUGACCAGGUGGACUAAUGGCAUAGAUGAACAGGUGGACUAAUGACAUAGAUGAACAGGUGGAGUAAUGACAGAGAUGACCAGGUGGACUAAUGACAGAGAUGACCAGGUGGACUAAUGACAUAGAUGACCACGUGGACUAAUGACAGAGAUGAACAGGUGGACUAAUGACAGAGAUGACCAGGUGGACUAAUGACAUAGAUGAACAGGUGGAGUAAUGACAGAGAUGACCAGGUGGACUAAUGACAGAGAUGACCACGUGGACUAAUGACAGAGAUGACCAGGUGGACUAAUGACAGAGAUGACCAGGUGGAUUAAUGACAGAGAUGACCAGGUGGACUAAUGACAGAGAUGACCAGGUGGACUAAUGACAUAG
ensembl:lncRNA